GGUGUGCAGCGUUCCAGGCUAGGGUGU
rnacentral:piRNA from 1 species